CUCCGGCCGCGUUUUUUUUAAUCCCGUCCCCAUUCAUCUCCUGCUCGCGCGCCGCCGUCGCCAAGUCCACGGCACCGCCCGACCACCCCCUCUCCUGGUGCUACCGGCAUUUCCAUGCCAUCCCCGCCUGCCCUCUCGCAACCGCCGUGGAAGAUUGAUGCCAGACCCGCACACCUCCCCUGCACGGCACGCCCCCACCCCACUACCAGAUGCGCCGAUUCCAUCGAUCCCCCUGGUGGCCGCUCUCUGCGAGCAGCUUGGCUGCAACAUCCGGACUUUCUCCUGCUAGGUGCGCGGCCACCCCACUGGAGCAUCGCAGGGAGGGCGGCGGAUCCGUUCUCCCAUAGACCGACCGCCCAGUCCUGGCCCAACUGAGCUCUGUUCUGUCAUUCUGCGAUAGUGGAUGUGCAUUCCAGGAGAUCAUCGGAUCAGCAGCAAAGUUGCAGCUAAUGAGAAACUUAUUGCUAAUACAAGAGUUACUAGGUUGUCAGGUUUCUGAACAUAUGUAGAGAACAGAGAUGUUGCAGCAGUUGUUUGGGAAUUGAUGGCAAACAUUCACAAAUAUGAAGAAUUGUGAUUGGUUCUUGUAUUAUCUCCUUGUCCCUGUAAAACAGUUGAACAGGCAAAUUGUUCCAUGCCGUAUAAGAUUACUCUUUUUUAUUCCAAAAAUUAUUCUUCAUGUCUAUGGCCAAUUACUCUAUUUGUAAUUAUAAACCCAAUUUUGGCAAAUUAUUCCAUGUUCUGUACGAUUUA